GCUCGGAUGGUGGAAUGGUAGACACGCAAGACUUAAAAUCUUGUGGCCAUUAUAGGCUGUGCGGGUUCAAGUCCCGCUCCGAGUACCA
rnacentral:tRNA from 5 species